UACGUAGGGGGCAAGCGUUGUCCGGAUUUAUUGGGCGUAAAGAGCGUGUAGGCGGUUUGGUAGGUCCGCUGUGAAAACUCGAGGCUCAACCUCGAGACGCCGGUGGAAACCAUCAGACUAGAGUCCGGAAGAGGAGAGUGGAAUUCCGUGGUGUAGCGGUGAAGUGCGUAGAUAUCAGGAGGAACACCGGUGGUGUAAACGGCUCUCUGGACCGUAACUGACGCUGAGACACGAAAGCGUGGUAGCAAACAGG
rnacentral:rRNA from 1 species